CCACACAAAACCCUUAGAAGAUCCGAGCUCGAGUGGAGCACGGUGACCUGCCGAUACUCGGAGAUUUUUGCUGUAUAUAAGUUUUGCAGACACAGGGAUCCUUUUGAUAUUACUGUU